CCGCCUUCCUGCCCUCCGCUGCCUGUGGCUCCUCACUUCCCCGGCCGUGCCGUCAGGGGCGCUCCAGAGCAGCCCCGGUGCCCACGUCUCAUCGCAGCCCUCUGGCAGGACAGCGCGCGUCUAAACUAAGCCGAGGCGCACUUCGCUAAGGGGACCUCUCCGUUUGGACAAUCCCGACGCCCGGCUCUACGCGGAAUUCCUCAUCUCCCACACAACCCUUUGCCGCUCUGGUAUCAGCUGGUGGCUUCUCCGUGGCCAUGCAGAGAAUAGAGACAGAACUUGAAACUGAUGUGCACAUGAGUGAGAUUCUUCAGCAAGGUGACAGACAGGAGGGUAAAGAGGAAGUAGGAUGAGCUCUUUGCUUUGAGUUUCUGUUUUCCAGGUCGGCUUGAUUGGAAAGAGGGAUGGCCGUGGUGAGAGUUGACAGUGUGCUGGUAGCCCUCGCAGCCCACGCUCGCUCUCGGCGCCUCCUCUGCCUGGGCUCCCACUUUGACGGCACUUGAGGAGCCCUCCAGCCCGCCGCCGCACUGUGGGAGCCCCUUGCUGGGCUGGCCGAGACCGGAGCCAGCUCCCUCAGCUUGCAGGGAGGUGUGGAGGGAGAGGCAUGGGCGGGAACCAGGGCUUCGCGGGUGCCUGCGGGCCAGCACGAGUUCCGGGUGGGCGUGGGCUCAGCGGGCCUCACACUGGGAGCCGCAGGCCGGCUCGCAAGUCCCGGGCAGUGAGGAGCUUACUACCCGGGCCAGCAGCUGCGGAGGGUGUGCCGGGUCCCCCAGCAGUGCCGGCCCACCGGCUCUGUGCUGGAUUUCUUGCCGUGCCUUAGCUGCCUCCCCUCGGGCAGGGCUGGGGACCUGCAGCCUGCCAUGCCUGAGUCUCCCUCCGCACUGCCAGAUGCUCCUGCCGGGCCUGAGUCUCCCCGACGAGCGCUGCCCCAUGUUCCACGGCGCCCGAUCCCAUCCACUGCCCAAGGUCUGAGGAGUGCCAGCGCACGGCGACGGAGUGGCAGGCAGCUCCACCUGCGGCCCCGGUGUGAGAUCCACUGGAUGAAGCCAGCUGGACUCCUGAGUCUGGUGGGGACUUGGAGAAUCUUUAUGUCUAGCUGGGGGAUUGUGAAUGCACCAAUCAGCACUCUGUAUCUAGCUCAAGGUUUGUAAACACACCAAUCAGCACCCUGUGUCUAGCUCAGGGUUUGUGAAUGCACCAAUCGACACUCUGUUUCUAGCUAAUUUAGUGGGGCCGUGGAGAACUUUUGUGUCGAACUCAGGGAUUGUAAACGCACCAAUCAGCACUCUGUCAAAAUGGACCAAUCAGCUCUCUGUAAAACAGACCAAUCGGCUCUCUGUAAAAUGGACCAAUCAGCAGGAUGUGGGUGGGGCCAGAUAAGAGAAUAAAAGCAGGCUGCUCCGCGCUAGCACUAGCAAGUUGCUAGAGUGGCCUGCCACAGUGUAAGUUUUGUUCUUUAGCUCUUUGCAAUAAAUCUUGCUACUGCCCACUCUUUGGGUUUACACUGCAUUUAUGAGCUGUAACACUCAUGGUGAAGAUUUACAGGUUCAGUCCUGAAGCCAGCGAGACAAAGAACCCACUGGGAAGAACAAACAACUCCAGACGCCCCAACUUAAGAGCUGUUAACACCCGAAGAUCUGCAGCUUCACUUUUGAGCCAGCGAGACCACGAACCCACCAGAAGGAAGAAACUCUGAACAGGCUGGAACGUCAGAAGGAACAAACUCAGGACAUGCCACCUUUAAGAACUGUAACACUCACUGUGAGGGUCUGCGGCUUCAUUCUUGAAGGCUGUGAGACCAAGAACCCACCAAUUUCGGACACACUGGGACCACCCUCGCUGACUGGAGGUAAUAUUGGUUUUUGCUGUUGAAAUUAAUGACAAAAAGCGUGAUUACCUUUGCACCAACCUAAAUGUAAGUAGCCGAGGGCCAGUGUGGUGGUGCUGUGAUGCCUUCUAUGUCACAGGCUGUUUUUGUUUUUAAUUUCUCCAUCCUUAUUAGUGCUUUUCCUUAAGGUCACCUCAGGUCCACAGACAAGGCUGCUGAGCCUCCAGCUAUCCUGCCCAUGUUCUAUUUAAGAAAGAAGGGACAGGAGCAAAGAUGUUUUCCAGCAAUCUCAUCCAAUGCAUUUGCUGACAUUUCACUGGCCACCCCAUCAGGAAGGAAAGCCAGACAUUUUUUUUCUGCACCUAGAAAUUUACAGGUUUUAUUAGUUAAGAAUAUGGUUUAGUAGACUUUGGGUAGGAAACUAGCAGUCGCUGAUGUGUGAGGGAUUCUAAAAAUAAGCUUGGACUUUUAAAAACAUGUCUGAUAUGUUUGUGCCCUGUAGAUCCAUGUCACUUGGCAAAGUUCCUCCAGAGUUAUCUAGAAUUUUUCCUUUAUUUCAAUAUCUCAUCAAUUGCUCCCGAUCAGUUGCCAAACCUUGCCAGUUUCAAGUCCCAGAAUGUAAACUAAAUCUGUUUCCUCCUCUUCAUUCCUGAUACCACUUCCCUAGUUCAGGCCCUGCUGUUCCUCGCUAGGUCGCUGGCACCACCUCUUGACUGUGUCCUUUGAGUAGGGAGAGUAAAGCAUGAACGGUGCCAGCUCUACAGCUGGAGCUUGGCUUUUCUUGGGGGGGGGGGGUAAAUAAAUUAAACAGAAAAUGCUGGUAGUUCCUGUGGUGUAUCUGAGCUAUCUGUUUAAAUAGCUGAUUCGUUCAUCAUUAGGUGUCCAAGGACAGUGACUUGCCUUAUUCUGCUCUUAUUCUCCAGCACUUGAGGCAAUCAUUCCCAGAUAGUGGAACCUCGAAUGGCAGACACUGUGGUUCUCCUGCGGGGCUGAGAACUGUGAGGAGCAGAGCAGACUUCAUGGAGCUCCACAAGUCACAUACACAGGCGGCUGCUGGCUAUUUCCGCUUUCUCAUCUGGAAUUGGCAGCGGACUAAGUGGGCCCUACUUAUUAGGUUGGUGCAAAAGUAAUCGCGAUUCUUGCCAUUAAAAGUAAUGGCAAAAGCUGCGAUUACUUUUGCACCAAUCUUACUAUAUAUAUAUUAUUUUUUCAAAUCUCAGUUUUAUUCUCAUUCCAGCAUCCUAAUGCUUUCCCUUUGGAUUUUUUUUUCUAAUCUUGAGAAGUUUGUGUUUUCAGUGUAGUAAUAACAAUAAUAGUGUUCUUAGCACACGCGUUACGCCAAGGGCUUUUAAAAGAUACUUUUCAUAAACCAACUCACUUAAUUCUCACAACAACUUUUGAAGUAGUCCACUUUCUAAUCCUCAUUUUACAGAUAAGGAAACUGAGGCACACAAGGUCAGCUAACCUGCCCGAGGUCUCUAGCUAGUGACUGGAAGAGGUGUUCUCUGGAUAUUAUUUGAAUCUCAGUCUCGCUAUAUUUCUUCGUCAUGACUGUAACUUUCCCCCUGUAUUUCUAAAUAUUUUAAUCUCUUGAUCAUAUAGCAUACGUUGAUUUAAUAAAUCACUUUUACAUGCAUUAUCGUAUUUGGUAUUCAUCACAGCUCUCUGAGGUGGGUAAGGGAGAUUUGGUUACUUCUUUCUGACAAAUGAGAAAAAUGAUGCUCAUAGACACUGUUAAGUUAGAAGCACAGGGCGUUAAUUCUGGAAGUGUUUUAAAGAUUACCCAAUCCAGCCACUCAACUUUUAGGAAAUUGAGCGUCAGAAAAAUAAAUGCCUUUCUCUAGUUCCCACAGCUGGCUGCAGUACCAAUCACCUGCCUCUGAGUUCAUUGCCAGCUGGGUGCUGUGGAACUUACCUUGACUUUGGAGUUAAUUAUCCAACUUCUCUGAGCUAUA
rnacentral:lncRNA from 1 species